GAGUAANCUAGCAACNGAAAUACAAAAUUUCAAAAUGUGCNAAUGUGAUAACGUAAGGGAAAAAAAUGAUAUUACCUUACUAUAAGUGUUGUCUAAAUAACUGGUGCCAGAAGACUCGGUAACACCAGAAACGCGAACGUUAGUCGUCUUAAACAGGCGUAAAGGGUAAGUAGGCUGCUUCAAAGUCUAUUUUUAAUUAAGCGAUUUAAUAAAUUUCCCCCUCCUUUGGGACUAGCACCUCUCUUUUUUUAACUUUAUUGCCCCCUUUUCUUAUUUUACUUCAAACCACCCUAAGGCUCCAGCGAGGGAGGGGUAGAAAUAAAAAUGGCUUUAAGUUAAAAUNNNNGAUUGGUCCUUAUUCUUAAUUUUAAAUUAAUUCUAAGAAUAAAAAGUUCCUAGUUUCCCCAGUGGGUAGGAUCCCCUACGGUUGCAAGGCAAGGGUGGGCCCUGACUAAGAAAAUGGUUUAAAUUUUUAUCAGACCUUAGUUUAUAAACUAAGGCUAAGUUAAAAUGAAGAUAGGGAAUAAUUAGGUGCUGCUCUCUUUUGGAGACAGCAGAGCUAAUAAAAUUAAUUAUUAAAUAGAAAAAAAUAGAUACACUUAAAGCUAGAAUCAUAAUUGAGAUAAACCAAAUAAUACUUAAGUGUAAGGGCGAUAUCUGUAAAUACUAAGUAGAAUACUAACGGUGAAAACUUUUUAUCUGGUAAUGAUUGACGCUGAGGUACGAAAGUGAGAACAGGGAAUAGGAUUAGAUACCCAGUUACCUCUCACCGUCAACGAUGAAUGGUAGUUGUUAGUUUAAUUAAAUUAGUGACGAUGUUAACGCGAUAACCAUUCCGCCUUGAGAGUACGGUUGCUAAAACUGAAACCAA
rnacentral:rRNA from 1 species